CUCUUAAUGGCUUUGGAAGAACAACUUGUCACUCAGGCACAAAGCAAUACACCAGUUAAAGGAAUUUAAUGUUGUGGUAUCAGCUGACUUUCUCAUUGCUUUCUAAAUUGUCACACAAGCACAGAGUAAAAGCAUUCUUCACUAUCUACCAUCUAAUAGUGUCUGAUUGUAAGAGAGUAGCUGGCACCUCUCUGAAAAGCUUCCUAGUGUCCCUAAAAUCUUGACACAACCGCUUUCCUCCCCUGUGGAUAUUCUUCAGAUCUAAACAUGGCCUGCUACAGUGUGUGGAUUAAAAUCUGAACACCCAGGCCCAUAAGAGAAAAUUUGCCAACAAUCUUUACGUAACUGGGAUUUAUAGCUCUGUUAUGAACAUGUUACUUAAUGUUAUCUUACAGCACCUCCUGGUGUUUAGAGUCUGAAGAGUAAAAUCUUAGAUUCUCAAGACUUACUGUUCCCUUAAAGCCAGAGAAAUUAGAGUAACAUUUUAUAAUUUAAAAAAACAGAACAAAUUAAUGCACAACUUGUUUGAAAAUAAACAAGCAAGGGUUCUAGAUUUUAAUUGUCCCUUUGCUUUUCCAGAGAAAACAACACCUAUUUACCACGGGUCAUCCACUUUAGAAAACAAUUUACCAGCUGGUUUCCAGCUGGAAUUACAUCAGAAUUUUUUAAGCAAUUUGUCUUUAGUUAUCCACCAAAAUAACUGAUCACUGCUUAGGAACUAGAAGGGGCAUUCUUGUCCCAAUUUUAGCCCCAAAGAGAGAUAAUGACUUGUCUUACCAAAGUUGUGGUAGGGGGGUUGGUAGCAACUUCCCAGGUAUGUGGUCUUAUCUUCAGCUGGUAAAGAAAACCAAAGCAGAGCCCACCCCCAAGUCUCAGAAUGUGCUGGGUAACACUCUUUGGUCCAUAGAAAGGUUGGGAUAACUGGUUAAGACAAUCAAAGUCCAGAUACAUGUUGACUCUCCUAAAGCCAUGGACAUGCUCUGCUGGGCCCCUGAUCUCACUCAGAGACAUACUCAGCAUGGACAAAUGUAUCCUCACCAGAAAACAGGUUAUAGUCUUAGUGAAGGUGGAAACGGGGCAUCAAGGAAAAGAGACCAAUGUAGCCAUGUUGAUCUAAUGCUGAGGAAUUAAAGGCAGUGAUUUUCCCUCCCCCUCUAUGUCUGUUAAGGUCAUCAACCUACAAAAGGAAAGAGGGGUGAGGAACCACACUUGGUACGUGUUUUAUUUUUCUAUAUCUGUGUCUCUGAAAUCAUUUGGAGGUAUGGGAGAUUGGGGAGGCGAAAAGUAAAGUGUCUUAAGAUUAUCUGUGAAUUUCAUUUAUCCAUACUGGCCCUCACCACAAUCCCAUAGGCAAUUCGAAGUCAACUGGAGUUCAUGUCUCCCACAUGGAUAGUGGACAGACAGAUCAAAGGGAAAGAGGGGAAAUAUUUGUCAUGGAGCUUCAUAAAGAACAUAACAGCACAGCUGAUUUCUUACUAAUGUCAUCCAUCUGUAACUAAUAGGUAGUAUGUCUUGGUACAAGCCCAAAGAUAAGCUGGAAACUUGAAACUUCAGAAAUCAGUUAGUCUAAAAUGAUCCUUCUAAGUUCUUCACUUUUCAGUUUCUUCUGCUUGUGUAUUAUUAAAACAUAUUUUUGCUCUAUAAGAGUAGAUCAGCAGGUGCCUUUUAAUUAUUCAAACUCCCCUGGAAACAAAAUUACUUAAUGUAAUUACAUCUGAGAUUUAAACAUCACUAAUAAAAGCCAUUUACAGUUCUUAAGGAAUGUGACAGAUGCAUUUGCCAUUCUGUUAAGAGAAACAAUGAAUUUGUCAUUUGGGCUUUUUACAAAUCUUGUUUUGUCAUAAGAAUCACAGAGCAACAACCAAAAGGAAAUGAUAAUGUUUAUCUCAGAAAUACAAUGUACUGAUGUGGCUAUGUAAAUUCUAUCCAGGAAAAUCCAUUUAGUUUACCCUUUCAAGCAACUGAGUAUAUAAUGAAGAUUUCCAAUGUUAUCUCUGGUCCUAUAAGUAUGGAAAGAACUUGUUCACAUGGCAACAAAAGGGGCAUCUCAUAAUUGAUAGAAAGCAGAUGUAGAUGCCAAACAUAAAUAGACAGGCAGGACAUGAAAGGCCAUACAACUGCUACUUUGUAAGGAAGAAUAGUCAGCGGUCAACAAUGCUGCAUGUUUUAAAGCAAUUGCAUCUUCUCAUAGGAAUCUGGUUUUCUAAUUAUCCUCCAACUUUGAAUAAAAUGAGCUGUGUUUGAGGUGGAAAUUUUAAGUGCAGAUGUUCUGAUAUGAAAACCUCCACAACUUCAUUCUUGAGCCAACCAAUAAAGAACCCGUCAACCUUUUACAACUUCUGAAAAAGCCUCGAGCUAGCAUUUAUGCCCACCUCAACAUAUAAAGGUUACACUUGGCUAGGAUUUGACUCUUGGGAAAUUAUUCUUCAAGAAGCAAGUUAGGAAGGUAAAACCAUAAACUGGUAACACAAAAUAAAGAGAAAGAGUUGGGGGGCGGGCUGGUUCUUCUGGUAUAAUGAAGGAGCACCUGCAAAUUCUUCAGUUAUGAUCGGUGCUUUUCUAUUUACUCUAUUCAUCUUCUACAUCAUGUAUCUUGAUCCCAUUCAUGCCCCCAGCCCUUUGUAUCUGCUCUUUGCCCUUGCAGCAAAUCCUGCUUUUUAUGUCAGAGCUCCUGACAAACGACAACAAAAUGGCACUUAAAGAAGGUAAAGUAAGACAGAAUAUAGAACCCCUUUGCUUCAGCAUCACUGAGAGAUAAACAUAAAAAUAACCUGUGCUCCAAUGGCAUGCAAUAAAAUAAUCUGCAGUUAGGGCGAAGUCUCUAGAUUUCAAUGUGAAUUGAACCAUUUCUUUGUGUUGUUUUUAGAUACGGUCUCUCUAUGUAGUUCUGGGUGUUCUGGAACUCUCUAGGUAGACCAGACUGGCCUCAAACUCACAAAGUUCUGCCUGCCCAACUCUUUUUGAAAUUAGCCCCCUUUCUUUUUAUUGAGAAUUAUUUGCAACUAAACCAUUGAAUUGAUUUGCUAUUCUGUUUAUGUAAGAUUAAAACAGUGGUGACUGUAGCUCCAUCCCUCGCAAUCCCCCGCUCCACCCCUAACGGAAAAAAAAAACAAAUCAUAGUACUUUGUGUUUUAAUCAGACUCUCUACAUAAAUACAUUCCUUCAUUCAGCUGUACUUAUGCUGGCUUUAGUGGUAUCUUUAAGAUACUGCACACAACUCUCACCAAAUUUCACUAACGCUACUUUGUAAAGGACUUGAUACUGAGUUGGGGGAUGACAGAAUCUGUAAAGUGAUGGAUACAUUAUCAUGAAGACCUGAGUUCAGAUCCCCAGUACUCGCUCACAAAGCCAGGUGUGGCACUGCAAAGUUCAGGACCAGCACCUCUUUGUUUCCUUUAAACCAUGGAUUCCUCUGCCCAGUACAGUGGUUCUCAGGCUUCCUAACGCUGCGACUCUAAUACAGUUACUUUCAUUGCUACUUCAUAACUGUAAUUUUGCUACUAUUAUGAAUCAUAAUGUAAAUAUCUGUGUCUUCUGAUGGUCUUAGGCCACUCCUGUGAAAGUGGGAUCAUGACCCAAGGUUAAAAGCCACUGCUGUAAAAGGAGGCAACACAUAUAAGCCCAUCUACCGAUGAGGAUGUGACCUUCCGGCUACCUUUGCAAUUGCACUAAUGUCUUCUGUUGUGUUUUAUACUUUGAGUUUUAAGUCAGAAUCCAACUCCAAUACAGAAAGGAGAGUUACCAUCAGAGAUGGCCUCCCACAGGUGGGAGCCAUCGUAGUUUGUUGGUAAUCACAGGGGGCAUGAUCCCAAGAGCAUGUGGAACCAGAGUUGUGAUAAUUAACCAUUUCCUCCAUAAUCUUUGCUUUAUGCUGCUACAAUUGUCAUGCUUACAUAUAAACCUCCAUGGCAUCUGCGAAGCCAGAAACACAGGGGGGAGAAACUGACAUCAUCAGUAUUGUAUAACAUCUGCAGACCUUCUUCUCUGUGCUUUUGCCUCAUGAGAUAGCAUUCUAGCUUUGCAUCCAAGUGCCGCAAUCCACUCUCUGGAUUUCCUAUGCUCUGCCAUUCUCUAGGCAGCCUCCAUUAAUCUAGAUUCUCAAGGGGCCCCAGGCUAUUACAUCCUUUAAAUUGAAGACUUGCUCUUGUAUGUACUUCACAGGGAACCCGCACCAAAUUGCUCUCUUAUCCAUAGAUUGGUGAAAGAUGUUGAUUUAAAACAGCAGAAAUGAGCUUGGACGACACCACUGGGGAAGUACAGCCAUGGAGAUAAGCAGGAAACUGGACACCUCCACCACUACAAAAUCAAAAAUCUUCUGGUCUAUCACCUCUGGAGGUAAGUCUGGUUAAGGUACUGAUGUCUAGGAUACAAAGGAGAGGCCAGGUAGAUUUCUAUUAAAAAAAUAUGUCUACAGGCAACUGGAGAUGGAGUACAUCCCAAGACUGCAGGUCCACCAGUGAAGAGAAGGUGCUCUAAUCUAUUUAGUACUCUGCCUGCCUAGCUGAUACCCCCAAGGUGCUAGAAGCCAGGUAAAUACCAUCAUGCUCAGUGGGGUUGCAAAACUGAGUCCUUCUGGGGAUACACUGAUCCCUUCAAAGUCCUAAAACUGUUUACCCAGGAAGGAGAUUCACUCCAUUGCAUCCCAUACUUGUUACACCAUAGGAGUUCACUUACAAUGGAAAAAAGGGCAGGGCCCACCUAAAUCUAGAUCUGGGCUUCCUGGUAUGCAGCAAAAUGUCCCCAUUAUCAUUUCCCUGCUGGUAGGAGCAAGCAUUGUGGGCCCUACUGCAGUUGGAACUUCAACCCUGGUCAUGGGGGAUUAAAACUUUAAGGUACUUUGGUGCUCAAGUAGACAUAGACCUGGGCCAUUUAGAAAAGUCUGCUACCCAUCUAGAAGCCCAGUUAGACUCAUUAGUCAAGGUAGUUCUUCAGAAUGACACCAGGAGAAACUGAUUGCUUCUAUGCUAGCCAGUCAGGGAUAAUUAGGAAAAGUUUAGCCAUGGCCAGAAAUAACCUUCAUAAAAGAGAAAGAAGACAUCAGUCUUGUUCUCUUGGUCCACUUGUUAACUACUCUACUUGUGGCCUUGGCUAGGCCUUUAAUCCUUUUAUUCCUAGGUCUCAUUGUAGGACCCUGAUUGCUCACCUCCCUACUUAGCUAUGUAAAACAGAGAAUAAAUUCUGUUAAACUACUAAUGCUAAGAAGACAAUAUAAUCUCCUCCCCUAGAGGAGUCCACAGUUGGACUCAGGCCCUUAAGAUCAGUGGGAAAUACAACAGGCCCCCAGACCUUAACACAGCUAAUGCCAUGAUGAAGGUACUACAAGCUUUGUAACCUUGCACAUAGACAAAAAAAUGUCAAAAUGAGAAUAAAGUAACAUCACAGUCUAUAGUUCAUGAAAAUUCCCUAAGUACACUAACCUUGCUCUUUGCCUUCUGUAGUACCAUUUGUGGCUAACUGUUCUUGCUGACUGAGGUGUGUGCCUUUGUGGCUAAAAGUUCACCCUGAGAAAGAACUGGGAUUGUACUCAUGUCCCAAACACCCAGUAUUGUCUCUGACCAGCUAAUAAAGACUUUCUAUUGGUUUGACACCAUGUCCAAGUUGUCUUCUCUGGUGGAUACCCCACAACAGCAGAGAUGGGAUCCCUGAGACAAUCAGGCUAGAUAAAACUCAAUAAAGUGGAGCAUGAUUGAGAAAAAGCUUGA